rnacentral:rRNA from 1 species
UACGGAGGGGGCGAGCGUUGUUCGGAAUUACUGGGCGUAAAGGGCGCGUAGGCGGUGACGUUAGUCGGGCGUGAAAGCCCCGGGCUCAACCUGGGAUGUGCGUUCGAUACUGCGUUGCUCGAGAGCGGAAGAGGGUAGUGGAAUUCCCAGUGUAGAGGUGAAAUUCGUAGAUAUUGGGAAGAACACCAGUGGCGAAGGCGGCUACCUGGUCCGUUUCUGACGCUGAGGCGCGAAAGCGUGGGGAGCAAACAGG